GGAGUCGUCGCGCCUCGGCUGCGAGUCAGGACUGAGGCUGUCCCCCUCCCGCCUCCCUCAGGGGCCCUGGCGCGGGUGCCUCCAGGUUCCACCCCUCACCUGCCCCUUGGUGUCGGGCCGGGACCCUGGAGAGGUCGUGAGGGAGUCCUGGGCGCGGGCUCCGGGAGGCUGCGGCGCGGGUCUGAGGUAAACGGCCCGGCCGCUGCGGGCCCUUGCGGGGGCUGGUUCCAGCAGCAACCGCCGGGCAGGGCCCCUCCCGACCGCGACCUCCUGUCCGCACCGUAGGGCAGCCGGCCGGGCCAGCCUCCCUCACAGGACUACCGAGGAAGAGGUAGGAUUUCACUCUGUCACCCAGGCGGGAGUGCAGUGGUGCGAUCAUAGCGGGGACUACAAGUGUGCACCACAUGCUUGUCUACGAACCUGAAGUAUUCUGAUGCAGUGGAGAGAGUGUAGAACUCUGGAGUGAAGAGAUCUGCCUGGAACCCUGACUCUAUCACUAGAUCAGGACCUGAAGUAGGUGGCUGCCCAUCCAGGUAUUCUACAGGCACUUGCCCGUGAAACCUUCACCACUCCUUGAAUCUGGUUCUGCAAAGUGGGACAGCUGAGACUUAGGCUAAGUGACUUACUGAGGCAGCAGUCAGCACCGUGUGGGACCAGCCCCCAUGCUGUUUCCCAAAUGGAGGCACCUUCCUGCAUACCUUGGGCGUGAUCUGUAACAGCUCAGAAAGCUUGGACACCAGCAGGGUGGCACCUAUAUGGGGAGCACCUGUCCGCA
rnacentral:lncRNA from 1 species